GACAAACGCUGGCGGCGUACCUAAGACAUGCAAGUCGAACGGGUGCAUGAUUUUCGGAUGAUGUAUGAGUGGCGAACGGGUGAGUAACACGUAGGAACCUGUCGUUGAGUGGGGGAUAACGCUGGGAAACUGGCGCUAAUACCGCAUGAGGUCCCUGACCGGGAGGUGAGGGAAGAAAGCAGUGAUGCGCUCGAUGAGGGGCCUGUGUCCGAUUAGCUAGUUGGUGGGGUAAGGGCCUACCAAGGCGACGAUCGGUAGCUGGUCUGAGAGGAUGGUC
rnacentral:rRNA from 1 species